rnacentral:rRNA from 1 species
GGGUUGUGAGGUUAAGCGACUAAGCGUACACGGUGGAUGCCCUGGCAGUCAGAGGCGAUGAAGGACGUGCUAAUCUGCGAAAAGCGUCGGUAAGGUGAUAUGAACCGUUACAGCCGGCGAUGUCCGAAUGGGGAAACCCAGUGUGAUUCGUCACACUAUCGUUAACUGAAUACAUAGGUUAACGAGGCGAACCGGGGGAACUGAAACAUCUAAGUACCCCGAGGAAAAGAAAUCAACCGAGAUUCCCCCAGUAGCGGCGAGCGAACGGGGAGCAGCCCAGAGUCUGAAUCAGCUUGUGUGUUAGUGGAACGGUCUGGAAAGUCCGACGGUACAGGGUGAUAGUCCCGUACACCAAAAUGCACAGGCUGUGAACUCGAAGAGUAGGGCGGGACACGUGGUAUCCUGUCUGAAUAUGGGGGGACCAUCCUCCAAGGCUAAAUACUCCUGACUGACCGAUAGUGAACCAGUACCGUGAGGGAAAGGCGAAAAGAACCCCGGCGAGGGGAGUGAAAAAGAACCUGAAACCGUGUACGUACAAGCAGUGGGAGCACCUUCGGGUGUGACUGCGUACCUUUUGUAUAAUGGGUCAGCGACUUAUAUUCUGUAGCAAGGUUAACCGUAUAGGGGAGCCGCAGGGAAACCGAGUCUUAACUGGGCGUUAAGUUGCAGGGUAUAGACCCGAAACCCGGUGAUCUAGCCAUGGGCAGGUUGAAGGUUGGGUAACACUAACUGGAGGACCGAACCGACUAAUGUUGAAAAAUUAGCGGAUGACUUGUGGCUGGGGGUGAAAGGCCAAUCAAACCGGGAGAUAGCUGGUUCUCCCCGAAAGCUAUUUAGGUAGCGCCUCGUGAAUUCAUCUUCGGGGGUAGAGCACUGUUUCGGCUAGGGGGUCAUCCCGACUUACCAACCCGAUGCAAACUACGAAUACCGAAGAAUGUUAUCACGGGAGACACACGGCGGGUGCUAACGUCCGUCGUGAAGAGGGAAACAACCCAGACCGCCAGCUAAGGUCCCAAAGUCAUGGUUAAGUGGGAAACGAUGUGGGAAGGCACAGACAGCCAGGAUGUUGGCUUAGAAGCAGCCAUCAUUUAAAGAAAGCGUAAUAGCUCACUGGUCGAGUCGGCCUGCGCGGAAGAUGUAACGGGGCUAAACCAUGCACCGAAGCUGCGGCAGCGACACUAUGUGUUGUUGGGUAGGGGAGCGUUCUGUAAGCCUGCGAAGGUGUGCUGUGAGGCAUGCUGGAGGUAUCAGAAGUGCGAAUGCUGACAUAAGUAACGAUAAAGCGGGUGAAAAGCCCGCUCGCCGGAAGACCAAGGGUUCCUGUCCAACGUUAAUCGGGGCAGGGUGAGUCGACCCCUAAGGCGAGGCCGAAAGGCGUAGUCGAUGGGAAACAGGUUAAUAUUCCUGUACUUGGUGUUACUGCGAAGGGGGGACGGAGAAGGCUAUGUUAGCCGGGCGACGGUUGUCCCGGUUUAAGCAUGUAGGCUGGUUAUCCAGGCAAAUCCGGAUAAUCAAGGCUGAGGUGUGAUGACGAGGCACUACGGUGCUGAAGUAACAAAUGCCCUGCUUCCAGGAAAAGCCUCUAAGCAUCAGGUAACAUUAAAUCGUACCCCAAACCGACACAGGUGGUCAGGUAGAGAAUACCAAGGCGCUUGAGAGAACUCGGGUGAAGGAACUAGGCAAAAUGGUGCCGUAACUUCGGGAGAAGGCACGCUGGUGUGUAGGUGAAGUCCCUGCGGAUGGAGCUGAGACCAGUCGAAGAUACCAGCUGGCUGCAACUGUUUAUUAAAAACACAGCACUGUGCAAACACGAAAGUGGACGUAUACGGUGUGACGCCUGCCCGGUGCCGGAAGGUUAAUUGAUGGGGUUAUCCGUAAGGAGAAGCUCUUGAUCGAAGCCCCGGUAAACGGCGGCCGUAACUAUAACGGUCCUAAGGUAGCGAAAUUCCUUGUCGGGUAAGUUCCGACCUGCACGAAUGGCGUAAUGAUGGCCAGGCUGUCUCCACCCGAGACUCAGUGAAAUUGAACUCGCUGUGAAGAUGCAGUGUACCCGCGGCAAGACGGAAAGACCCCGUGAACCUUUACUAUAGCUUGACACUGAACAUUGAGCCUUGAUGUGUAGGAUAGGUGGGAGGCUUUGAAGCGUGGACGCCAGUCUGCGUGGAGCCAACCUUGAAAUACCACCCUUUAAUGUUUGAUGUUCUAACGUUGGCCCCUGACCGGGGUUGCGGACAGUGUCUGGUGGGUAGUUUGACUGGGGCGGUCUCCUCCCAAAGCGUAACGGAGGAGCACGAAGGUUAGCUAAUCCUGGUCGGACAUCAGGAGGUUAGUGCAAUGGCAUAAGCUAGCUUGACUGCGAGCGUGACGGCGCGAGCAGGUGCGAAAGCAGGUCAUAGUGAUCCGGUGGUUCUGAAUGGAAGGGCCAUCGCUCAACGGAUAAAAGGUACUCCGGGGAUAACAGGCUGAUACCGCCCAAGAGUUCAUAUCGACGGCGGUGUUUGGCACCUCGAUGUCGGCUCAUCACAUCCUGGGGCUGAAGUAGGUCCCAAGGGUAUGGCUGUUCGCCAUUUAAAGUGGUACGCGAGCUGGGUUUAGAACGUCGUGAGACAGUUCGGUCCCUAUCUGCCGUGGGCGCUGGAGAAUUGAGGGGGGCUGCUCCUAGUACGAGAGGACCGGAGUGGACGCAUCACUGGUGUUCGGGUUGUCAUGCCAAUGGCACUGCCCGGUAGCUAAAUGCGGAAGAGAUAAGUGCUGAAAGCAUCUAAGCACGAAACUUGCCCCGAGAUGAGUUCUCCCUGAGACUUUAAGUCUCCUGAAGGAACGUUGAAGACGACGACGUUGAUAGGCCGGGUGUGUAAGCGCAGCGAUGCGUUGAGCUAACCGGUACUAAUGAACCGUGAGGCUUAACCUUACAACGCCGAAG